rnacentral:rRNA from 1 species
GACGAACGCUGGCGGCGUGCCUAAUACAUGCAAGUUGAGCGAUGAAGCUUGGUGCUUGCACCAAUUUGAAGAGCAGCGGACGGGUGAGUAACGCGUGGGGAAUCUGCCUUUGAGCGGGGGACAACAUUUGGAAACGAAUGCUAAUACCGCAUAACAACUUUAAACAUAAGUUUUAAGUUUGAAAGAUGCAAUUGCAUCACUCAAAGAUGAUCCCGCGUUGUAUUAGCUAGUUGGUGAGGUAAAGGCUCACCAAGGCGAUGAUACAUAGCCGACCUGAGAGGGUGAUCGGCCACAUUGGGACUGAGACACGGCCCAAACUCCUACGGGAGGCAGCAGUAGGGAAUCUUCGGCAAUGGACGAAAGUCUGACCGAGCAACGCCGCGUGAGUGAAGAAGGUUUUCGGAUCGUAAAACUCUGUUGGUAGAGAAGAACGUUGGUGAGAGUGGAAAGCUCAUCAAGUGACGGUAACUACCCAGAAAGGGACGGCUAACUACGUG